rnacentral:lncRNA from 1 species
NNNNNNNNNNNNNNNNNNCGGUUGCCGCCCCCCGCUCACGGGCUCCGUUUGCAAAAGGGAAAAUUUGCACCAGCUCAUAAGUAAAACCCGGCACGACCCUCCCCUGGGGCAGCAGCAGCGCCGGGGUUGGAGGGCGCGGGGCCCCCCGAAGGGCCCGGCCUCGUCUCUGCCCUCCGGUCGGGGAGAGACGCCCGGGGCUCGGCCAGAGCCCGGGACAGAGGCACCCGGGGCUCGGAGGGUGCCGAGGGCCGGCUCGGGGCGCAACGCCGAGGUGCCCGGCUCCACGUCCCCCCCGUGCGGCCGGCCCGGCCCGGCGCUCCGGGACCCGCUCCCCUCUCCCGGCUCGACGCGGCAGCCCCGGCCGCCCGCCCGGCUCGGCGACACCGACCUGGGGCCGAAGGGGGGGGGGGGAAACGGCCUUUCCCCGGCACCCCGAAACGCCUUACGCUGGAAACGGUGCGGGAUGGAAACGCAACGGGGAGCACGGCGGUGACCUGCCGUGUGCACCCGCACUGUGGUGCUCACACGCCCUGGUGCGCAGGGGACACACACACACACACACACACACACAGACACAGGUGUGCACACUCCGGUGUGCUCAUCCUGGAGCCCACGCAGCGGUGCACACCCACCCCCGACCCGGUGUGCACGUAGGGCAACGUGCAGCCCGGGGCGUGCGGACCCCGACGCGUGCACGGCGGUGCCCACGCGCUGGUGCACGCACACUCUGGUGUGCGCGUCCCGGGCCGUGCACACUGAUGCACACACACACACACACACCCUGCAGGACAAUUUGGCUCUCCCCAGCCUCCUGCAUCCCGCCGUCCCCGCAGCUUUGCCCCCUCCCCGUCCCCACUGGGCCAUCUGACGGCGGGGGUCCCCCCGGUGACCGCCRGCUCGCACCUCGCUCCGCAGAAACCCCGGCCGCGUUUUGGGUCUACGGGAAACGAAACCAACAAGCGGCCCGGGCACCGCACCGGCCCCGGCCGCCCUCACCGUCACCGACAGCCGCCGGUCCCGGUUCCGACCUCUGUCUUCUCCGGGCUCCCUCCCCGCCGGGGUCGGGGGAGCCUCCUGCCCGCGGACCCCGGGCCCCCCCGGUCCCGGGACCCCGGGGCAGACCGUCGCCCUUGUGCCCUGGCUGUGGGCACCCACUCAGCCUGCCACCCACCGACCCCAGACGGCUCGGGCAGCGCUGGGGGCAGGUCGCUGUGGGCGGCGGGGCCCAGCUCCCGGUUACAGCGCUCGGUAUUUUGGGGAAGGACGAGAGAGGCAACCGCGCACGGAACCAUCCCGGCCACCUCGGCCCCCACCCGCCUUUAUAAAUACGGAUAUAAUGUUUGAAGGGCGGGGGGUGGAAGCCAUGCAGGGCCGUGCUAUGGGGAGGUGCCAACCCGCAAGCACCGGGGACCCCCGGAGGCAGCGGGGACCCCCGGGGGGGCCGGGAAGAGCCGCCGCCCCGGCCGGGCCCGG